CUUUGGUAUGAUACCCUUCACACGCAUGCGCGUUCCUUCUAUUGCGUUGGAGGCUCAUUUGAAAACAUUAGCCGUGACUAGCAAUGUUUGUUUUGGUUAGCAAGCAACUCGACUAAAGUGAACAUACGUUUCUGGAUAAUACAGUGAUAUAAACCCAUCAUUAUACUCGAGGAACGACAGUCAUCAUUCAUGGAGAACCACAGCGUGGAUGACGACAACUCCAGCAUCCGGUCAUCCUCCCCGGCGAACUCUCCUGUCAUGGACCGUAACCCCUCACCACCCCCGGACAGAGAGGGGGAGCAGGACGGGGAAAAGGUGGAUGCUAUAGGGGAGACAGUUUAUAGCAAACACUGGCUGUUCAGCACGUUGACCCGUCUGAUUCAGAUUGUGUCGGAACGAGAACACAGGAGA